rnacentral:lncRNA from 1 species
AGCUGGUGUGCUGGUGUGUCGUUGUGCUGAUGAGCUGGUGUGCUGGUGUGUCGUUGUGCUGAUGAGCUGGUGUGCUGGUGUGUCAUUGUGCUGAUGAGCUGGUGUGCUGGUGUGUCAUUGUGCUGAUGAGCUGGUGAGCUGGUGUGUUGGUGUGUCGUUGUGCUGAUGAGCUGGUGGGCUGGUGUGUCGUUGUGCUGAUGAGCUGGUGUGUUGGUGUGUCAUUGUGCUGAUGAGCUGGUGUGCUGGUGUGUCGUUGUGCUGAUGACCUGGUGAGCUGGUGUGUCGUUGUGCUGAUGAGCUGGUGUGCUGGCUUGUGUGAUCUGGAACUCCAAUUGCUGUCCUGCUCAUCUCCAGGUGUUGUCUUGAGAAGGAGCUGAUCUGAUAUUCCUCAGCGCUGCUUCAUGAUAAGGACUAAUGAACUAUGUAAACACAAUAUUUUUCUCAUUAAUAAUGCACCGCUGAGAUAUUGUCACUUGUUCAGGGUUAAUUUUAUACUUGUUAAAAAUGCAUAAGUGUCUGAUGAAAUGCAUGCUAAUAACCGCUAAUCACUUGCUUCUCCCAGCCCUUCAUAUCUCUUCUGAACACACCAGCUUCCUGUGGACUGAUGCAUGAACUGAUGUCAUCUCUCCAGCCUAUUGGAACUGCUGAGCCCAGCCAGGAUUUAUCUGUGACUGAGACAGGAGCAGCCCCUCCUCCAGGGACAGAGACACCACACACAGAGAGAGGACUAUCCCCUCUGCCAGGGACAGAGACAGCCGACUCCCCUCCCACAGGGGGCAGAGACACCACCCCUCCUCAGAAAGGGUCCUAGGGUCCCAGUGUUGCAGUCUUGAUGUCUUCACAGACUCGCCUGCCCUCCAGUCAGCCCCUUUACUGCCUGCAAGAACGCAGCUCUGUGAGCUUGCCUUGUGUUCUUGUUGUCACUGCAUCAUAUAUCAUAUGAGGGUAGAAAGAGAGGUGUUUGGAAAGGCACACUAUAAUUAGGAAAUAAUAAGAAAAUAUAUGAAAAGAACAAAAAAAAAAGAAUUGAAAGAUGUUUGCUUUUAUCAUCCCCAGAUUUUUCAUACCUGUCAGCCCACACAGAAGGACAGGUAAUUUGAGUGGUACGGUGAAGGAUUGUCAAGGUUUUGAAGUCUCAUUGAUAGCGCUGCCAUCCCUGCAGCUCCGAGCUCGUCUGUGUAGCGGAGAGUGACAGUCCCGCCAGCCCACUCACGACUGCACAGCCGCAGGAUUCAGACAGCUCUGCCCUGAUCCCACCCUGACCAGCGAGUGGCUGGCACAGGGGGCAAGAGCUCGGCACAGCAGACACGCACCUGGUAGAAGGUGGGCACAUAUUUAGCACAGGGGAUCAGGCCUGGUAAUGGUGGUAAUAAUAAUAAUAAUAAAUCCUUACACUUAUAUAGUGCUUUUCUGGACUCUUUACAGGUAAUGGGGACUCCCCUCCACCGCCACCAGUGUGCAGCCCCCACCUGGAUGAUGUGACGGCACCCAUAGUGCACCAGAACGCUCACCACACACCAGCUCUCAGUGGGGAGGAGAACAGAGUGAUGAAACCAGUUCUGAGAUGGGGGUUAUUAAGAGGUAAUGGCCAGGGGAAAAUUCGGCCAGGAUGCCGG